rnacentral:rRNA from 1 species
GACGAACCGUGCGAACGUUGUUCGGAAUCACUGGGCUUAAAGGGCGCGUAGGCGGCUUCGCAAGUCAGGGGUGAAAUCUUUCGGCUCAACCGGAAACGUGCCUCUGAUACUGCGGAGCUCGAGGGGGAUAGGGGCGGACGGAACUUCCGGUGGAGCGGUGAAAUGCGUUGAUAUCGGAAGGAACGCCGGUGGCGAAAGCGGUCCGCUGGGUCCCUACUGACGCUGAGGCGCGAAAGCCAGGGGAGCAAAC